rnacentral:sRNA from 1 species
GCCGAGUGUGAUGGCACAUACCUGUAAUCCCAGUGACUCGGGAGGCUGAGGCAGGAGGAUUGUGAGUUUAAAGCCAGCCUCAGCAAUUUAGUGAGGCACUAAACAACUCAGCAAGACUCUGUCUCUA